CGGAAUCCCCGGUCUCUCACUUUAUCGGGUGAGGGGGACGCCGAUGUCAGCGCAGGCGGAGGGAGCGGAAUCCCCGGUCUCUCACUUUAUCGGGUGAGGGGGACGCCGAUGUCAGCCCAGGCGGAGGGAGCGGAAUCCCCGGUCUCUCACUUUAUCGGGUGAGGGGGACGCCGAUGUCAGCGCGGGCGGAGGGAACGGAAUCCCCGGUCUCUCACUUUAUCGGGUGAGGGGGACGCCGAUGUCAGCGCGGGCGGAGGGAACGGAAUCCCCGGUCUCUCACUUUAUCGGGUGAGGGGGACGCCGAUGUCAGCGCGGGCGGAGGGAGCGGAAUCCCCGGUCUCUCACUUUAUCGGGUGAGGGGGACGCCGAUGUCAGCGCGGGCGGAGGGAGCGGAAUCCCCGGUCUCUCACUUUAUCGGGUGAGGGGGAUGCCGAUGUCAGCGCGGGCGGAGGGAGCGGAAUCCCCGGUCUCUCACUUUAUCGGGUGAGGGGGACGCCGAUGUCAGCGCGGGCGGAGGGAGCGGAAUCCCCGGUCUCUCACUUUAUCGGGUGAGGGGGACGCCGAUGUCAGCGCGGGCGGAGGGAGCGGAAUCCCCGGUCUCUCACUUUAUCGGGUGAGGGGGACGCCGGUGUCAGCGCGGGCGGAGGGAGCGGAAUCCCCGGUCUCUCACUUUAUCGGGUGAGGGGGACGCCGAUGUCAGCGCGGGCGGAGGGAGCGGAAUCCCCGGUCUCUCACUUUAUCGGGUGAGGGGGACGCCGAUGUCAGCGCAGGCGGAGGGAGCGGAAUCCCCGGUCUCUCACUUUAUCGGGUGAGGGGGACGCCGAUGUCAGCGCGGGCGGAGGGAGCGGAAUCCCCGGUCUCUCACUUUAUCGGGUGAGGGGGACGCCGAUGUCAGCGCGGACAAUAGUACAAGAGGUGCCCCCAGUGCCGAGGACGACACAGGCGGCGAUGGUGCUGCUGUGCCGAGCACAUCUUUGGGUGCUGGCUGCACACAUUCCUGUGCCUCGGAAACCGGGGGGCGACCGUCCGGCCGUGUGCUGACUGAAGCUGUGCUGCAGUCACAAAAUGCAAUAGUCUAUGCUGUAAGAGAUGUUGCCAAUGAAUUAAAACAUCUAAAUGAUACGCUGUGUGAUAUUAACAGCACAUUAAAAGAAUUAGUUAAAAAGAUACAUGCGGUGUUUGGUUACCUGCUUUACAUUCUUGCUAUUACAUUCAAACGAAGUUGUAAUGCUGUUCCAGACUGGAUUACUGUAAUGCCCUCCUAUCGGGUUGCCCGUCUGGAUCCUUGCAUAAACUUCAGAUGGUACAGAAUGCUGCAGCCAGAGUUCUAACAAACACAAAAAAAUUUGAUCAUAUUACACCGGUCUUAUCCUCUCUUCAUUGGCUGCCAGUUAAGUCUCGAAUUGACUAUAAAAUACUGCUAUUAACUUAUAAAGCACUAAAUGGCCUUGCACCAGAAUACCUUAGUGAACUGCUGACCACAUACAACCCUCCACGCUUGCUUCGCUCUCAAGCCAUGGGAUAUCUGUUAGUGCCUAGGGUAGAAAGAGCUACGGCAGGCUGCAGAGCUUUCUCCUACAAAGCUCCUCAGCUGUGGAAUGGUCUUCCACCGGAUGUGUGGGUUUCAGGUUCACUCUCAAUAUUCAAGUCCAGACUAAAAACACACCUGUUUAGUUUAGCGUAUAGGGACACUAGUUCUAGCCCUAGCUAACUCUUCACUCCCAGUCAGACCUGUAGUGUGAGGUGUACAGCUGGGUGGGGAUCGGUGCCAUUGGCUUUGGAUGAACUGGAUUGUCAGUGCUGUCACUCUAGCUUUGCAAUCUCUUGUGGAACUGGAGUGCUGACAUUUCAGGGACUCCCCAUGCCGGCAUUCCCACUUGCCUCUCCCUCCUACUGAUGCUGCCAUAGCCAUAACUGCCGGAGCUUGUAGAUUGCACUUCAUAUUGUACUCACCUAGCUUUUAGCACUGCCAAUAGCCUCCUCUACUAUGCCUAAUUGUACAUUUUAUUUCCCCUACUCCUCCUGGGGGGUGAUGCCUGGAGACCUCAAUCUAUCAAGAUAUCCAGCACACCCGGCCACAUGUGACGUCGCCACCACCAGUGACGUCCCUGCAUCCAGCUCGCCGUUCUGAUCUUCCAUGUAUUACCCGCUGCCUUACCUCUGGUUGCCUGGCAAUUGGAAGAAGACUCGGCUUCGGCAUUGGCUUAUCAUCUUCCUUGCUCUCCUCUCUCUAUUUGACUAUCCCUGCCGGCCCCUGGAGGAUGGGCUCCCCCUUUGAGUCUGGUCCCUCUCAAGGUUUCUUCCUUCUAGGGAGUUUUUCCUUGCCACUGUCGCCUAUGGCUUACUCACUGGGGGCUUUGGGUGAGGAUACUGUAAAGCGCUUUGAGACAAUGUAAUGUUGUGAUAAUGCGCUAUAUAAAAAUAAAUUUGUUGUUGUUGUU